CAUGAAGCUGGAUUCGCUAGUAAUCGCGCAUCAGCCACGGCGCGGUGAAUACGUUCCCGGGCCUUGUACACACCGCCCGUCAAGCCAUGGAAGCCGGGAGUGCCUGAAGUGCGUGAGCGCAAGCAGCGCCCUAAGGUAAAACCGGUGACUGGGGCUAAGUCGUAACAAGGUAUC
rnacentral:rRNA from 1 species